UAAAUUUAGUAAAACUUUACCUUCUUAUAUGAUACUUCUUUUUCUUAUGCUUGCAUUGUUUGGCACUUCAACUGGCAUUUAACUCCCAAAUUCUAUUCCCUGUUGAAAGAGAGAUUGUCUUGUUCUUUCUAUUUCUAUCUUUUCCUGUUGAUUUAUAUUGCUGGGAACUGAGUUAUUCCUGUAUAUCUUCUCUAGAUCGUGUCAAAGAAUCUCUCUGAA
rnacentral:misc_RNA from 1 species